GGGCCCGUAGCUCAGAGGCAGAGCAGGCGCCUUAAAAGCGCACAGUGUCGCCGGUUCGAAUCCGGUCGGGUCCA
rnacentral:tRNA from 1 species